GCUUUAAGAACUAGCACAAAGCUAAGGAUAUUUACCACCAAUGUCAAAUCUGUACUCUUAUACGGAUCAGAAACCUGGAGAGAAACAGCUGCAUCCAUCAAAUCUAUCCAAACUUUUGUCAAUAAAUGUUUGAGAAACAUCCUCAACAUCAGAUGGCCAAACAAAAUAUCCAACAAUGAGUUAUGGAGAAGAACCAAACAACAGCCAACAACCCAGACAAUAAGAGCAAGAAAGUGGAAGUGGAUCGGGCAUACCCUAAGAAAAAAAGACACACACAUUACCAAGCAAGCCCUAAAAUGGAACCCCCAAGGACAUCGAAAAAGGGGAAGGCCAAAAAACACCUGGCGCAGGGGACUAACAACUGAGCUGAGUAAAAUUGGGAUGACCUGGAAAGAAACAAAACGAAUAGCCA
rnacentral:lncRNA from 1 species